GGCGCCCGUGCGGGCCCCGGGCCCCCCCACCUCUUACCUCUGGCAGGGGCGCCGAUCACCCGCCACCGUCCGCAGCUCCCACCGCAGCCGAGAUAAACAACUUAACGUGUGAAAGCAGGAGGAGCGGUGACAGCGCUUGCCAGCUCAUGACGGGGGCGGAGGCUGCGGCAGCUCCACCUAGUCCCUGCCCGGGCGCUCGGCCGCAGCCACUCACUCCUCAGGCAGCGCUCAGACGCUGGCAGCGGCCGCCUCUGCUCUGACGUCUUGAAGAGGAUUGGGGGAAGCGCAUGCCGGAAGCCGCUCGCCGCCAUCUUGGUAAAGGACGAUGACGCCAGCCCGGCCUCGCGUCCACCAUCUUGGCAAAGGUUCUCCAUCGCAGGGAGCCGAAGUAGCCCUUCCUCGAUUCUGAAGGGUAGGCGCUACCCCCCUGUGCUAUCCGAUGUGAAAGGAGAAAACUAAGCAUUUUAGUCACGCGCUUGUUCGGAGACGAUCUAUUCGGGCCGCCCCCAGGCAAUUCUAGGGCCGCCAUCUUGGCAAAGGAAGAGCCGCUCUCCGCCUCGGAAAAGGGAACCAAGACGUUUGCCAACGUAGAACCUUCAGCCCAUGGAAUUUUUACGAAGGGCGCUGAGCAACCCAAUUGUUAACACAGCCUCUUUCUGGGUCCAGAAGAGAUGGUUCCCUUUUCCUUUCCCUUGGCGCUAGUUAACUAGAGGGAGGCCCUUGCCGUGGGUGCUCGUAACGGACACUGAGGAUUUACUUCAAGAUCACUGUUUUGCCUACUUGCCAGUUUUUCCACCUUAGAAGCCUCAAUUACUAAAAUCAGAUGUCUUGCGUGGAUUGGGUCCCCAAACUGCCAAAUGGUUGAUGAGAAAAAAUCAAGACCCAAACUUAAUGUAAUAUUUAUGUUUUAAAAGUGUGUGAAAUAACUCAUGCCAAUGUGAUUAUCCUUCUUUGCUUAAAAGUUAUACUAGGAAUUUAUUACGUGUAUGGAUACCUUAUAAAAAUAUAUAAUUUGUAUAUGUUUAACAUAUGUAAAGGUACAGUAACAGUUAUCUAAUAGAACGCUUCUCCCCAUACCAUAAACCUAUUUCAUAAUUGAAUCUCUGCUGUAAGAAAAGAAUCCACCUCAUCUCUUACCUCUUUAAAUUUGGGUUAUAUAUUCCGUUUUUUAAAUAAUAACUGAUUUUACAAGAGUUCUCCAUUAACUUUCUUGCCACUCAUUUUGUCUGCAAGUCCAGGAGAUUGCCUUGAAAUGGAAAAAGACUCACAUUGUUUUCAAUUAAAAAUUGCUAUUGAAAGCACUUUCAGUUGGGCAGAAGUGUAACAUUUUCAGUGGUUUACAUAUGCCUGUUAAUUUUUUGAUAGAAAAAAAAAUCUCAUUCUUCAGUCUGUCACAUUCAUCUGAAUGCCGGCAAAGACUGUAGAUUAACCCAGUGUCUGUUUUUCAGAGUUAGAAUUGUUAUGCUUUAUGGCUAACAUUUAUUGACCAUGGCCAACAUUUAUUGACAGAAUGGUUUUAUCAUUCCCAUUCCCAUUGAAAUAAUCCAAGCCUCACUGCAGAUUAUUCUUCCAAAAUAUUAAUUAAAUCAUGUUGUGCUCUUGCUCAAGUAUCUAUAAUAAUUCCCUUCCAGCAUAGAGAGAUCCCAACUCCCAUUCUGUUAAAACCAGCAUCUUUCACCUGCUCAUUUCUUUCUUUCUUUCUUUCUUUCUUUCUUUCUUUCUUUCUUUCUUUCUUUCUUUCUUUCUUUCUUUCUUUCUUUCUUUUCUUUUUUUUUUAAGAUUUUAUUUAUUUAUUUGUCAGAGAGAGAGAGAGCACAAGCAGGGUGAGCAGCAGGCAGAGGGAGAAGCAGACUCGCUGCUAAGGAAGGAGACCCAAUGCAGGACUCCAUCCCAGGACCCUGGGAUCAUGACCUGAGCGGAAGGCAGAUGCUUAACGACUGAGGCACCCAGGUGUCCCACACCUGCACAUUUCUUGAAGGCAAAGUCUUUUAGCUGUUGGAAUUGGACUAGUAUUUGAUUAAACUGAAAAGUCAGUUAAAGCAAAGGAAUUAUUUAAAAAAAAAAUCACACUUGGAAAUAUAAAGUUUUAAAUGUAAAACCCAACAUGUAUGUGCUACCUCUUUGGUGAAAGCUUUUGUGAGCCUGCUAACUGGAGUUCAUGUCUUCAUUUGUGUACAAACUGUACCCACAUUGCAUCAGUACAUCACAGCUGUUAAGAACAAGACUGGCUGGCUGACUUGCACCACUAUGAAGAAUAUAACCUUGGGUGACCUAAUUUUUUGUGCCCCAGUUUCAGUCAUCUGCAAAAUGGGGAUGAUAAUAGUAUUAACCCAAGUUACUAGAAGGAUUAAGUGAGUUCCAUAUAUGUGAAGUGCUUAGACUAAUUCCUGGGACUUAUUAAGUGUUUAAUCAGCAGCAUCAAUUAUUAUUAAUAUGUAGUAUUACUAUUUCCCUCAUUUUUUAAUUGGAACAAAAAAUUAAAAGUACUUACAAAUAUAAAUGAGUGUCAGUUUCUGAAUUUGUAUGAUUUAUGCCUCCUGACCUCACCCCAAUCUGUUAAAAUUGUCUUGCAUCCACCUAAUUUGACAGUGAUUGUUUAUAUGGCAUCUUUCCAUUUAGAUUUUAUAGAACAACUAUUACUUUUUUAAUCCUAUUUCAUCAUUUAAUUAUUUAAUUACAAUAACAAGCACAAAUGGAAUUAAGAUUUUUGGGGGGGGGGAAACCCUAAGGAACUGUUGGUAAACCUAUAGCUUAACUUGGUGGGAGCAGAAAUGUGUGGAACAUAAGAAUUAACCUUGGCUGCAGUGUUCAGCAUUCCCUAAGCAUCAGUCGAUUGUUUUCCAGGGAGGAUGGAGAACUUGAAUUAGUUGAGAUAAAGGCAUUGAGUAGUGUCAUUUAAGAGGAGUCCAUCCUGCUGAAGAAAGGGCAUAUACAACAUCCAUUCCCACCUCUACCAUUGUUUAUCACAUAUAUUUCCUUUUACAUAAGGAUACCUCUUUGUGACUUGGUUUCCUAUAGCCCAUAAUUCUUUGUCAUGGCUCUAUCUUCCAUCUGUUCUAUUCCCUCACCCCUACCCCCAACACACACAAUUUACAUCUGUGAUAGUAAAUGUAAAUUGGAAUCAAAUAAAUACCUACCACAUUUUUAUGUAUUAAAAAUUUUGAAUAUGAUGGUUCAUUGAGUAUGCUAAUUUUAUAUUAAGCCAACCCAAACAACUUACUUAAAAAAAUUAUUUUUACAGCUAUCAUAGCUAUUAGAUGACUCCUUACAAUAAAUAACUCGACUUUGCGGGGCGCCUGGGUGGCUCAGUCGUUAAGCAUCUGCCUUCGGCUCAGGUCAUGAGCCCAGGGUCCUGGGAUCGAGCCCCGCAUCGGGCUCCCUGCUCCGCGGGAAGCCUGCUUCUCCCUCUCCCACUCCCCCUGCUUGUGUUCCCUCUCUCGCUGUGCCUCUCUCUGUCAAAUAAAUAAAUAAAAUCUUUAAAAAAAAAAAUAACUCGACUUUGGGAAACAGUCCUAUUCUUGUUUAACCUUGUGAGGUAAGAAGUUCAAGAGAACCCAGCUAAGCUUUAAAUGUCCCAUCUCUUUCUGCUUCAGUAUUUGCAUUUUACACCAGACAUGCCUGUUGUAAACAAUUCACACUUAGUACAGCGAGUUCUUAAUCAUAAUGAGUUCCACUUUGGUACCUCUCUUUGUAGUUGGAAUUAACAUUCCCACAUGAACUGGGAAGUGCUAAAUUGUUACCAGCAUCCCUGGUGUCUUUCUGCUUCUCAUAAUGCUUUCAAUGAUUUCAUCAUAUGCAACCUAAACUAUCGCAAUUUGUGCUCCUAGGCAUGAAAUGCUCUAUGGGUGUCCUGCUAAAUCUAUAUUCCGUAUGCUGGCAGAACUUGUUUUAAGCAGUACCUGAUUCAAGGAUAAGGUAAAUAUGAGCAAAUAAAUGGGGGAGAUGUUGAAAUAAGCCAGGAACCUCAUGUUUUUAGAGUUUGGAGACAUUAGAGCAAGUACACUGAAUAAUUGUAACAAAUAUUACGUACUUUGUUUUGCAUUUGUGCCUGGCCAUUAUGUCAUUAGCUUUCUUCCUCUUCUGAUUUAAUCUCCUUUUUCUGUCCCAUGUUCCUUUGGUAGAGAUUGUUUCAAUCUGCUCCAUUUCCAGGUGGAAUCGGUCAGCGAAUUUUUGAAAACCUACAUUUCCAUUUUGGUGCUUACAACUUAUUUAUUUAUUAGGCCACACUGGGUUGUAUUUUGUUUUUAAGCUAAGUCAGAAAUAUUGGAGUUUAAAAGAUCAAAACAUCCUUGGUUUAAGGAUCCCGUCACAAGAUAUAAAUAUACUUGAUAUCAGACUCUGGAGUGUUAUAAGGACAUUUGUUACAUUUUUAAAAAAUGUGACCUCAGUAUUAGUUAAAUUUUCUCUAGCCUCCUGUUUACUUUUCACUGUAAGCCCUAGUUUUGAAAUCCUGUUGGGCCACUUAACUGAAUGAGCUGGGGCCAGUCAUUUAUUCCUUCAUAGCUUGUUUUUCUAUCUGUGAAGGAAGGAUAAUGAUAGCUACCCCGCCUAUCAACUCAUAGGAAAUCUAUAAGGCUCAAAUGGGAUGAUGCAUGCAAAAGGAGUUGAGAAAACAGGGAGGGACUCAUAGAAUUUUGGCAUCAAUUCACCACAACAAAAGUGAUUACUAAUUUUAUUGAAAAUUGUCAUGGCCUCUCUUUGCCCGUUCCCCAGAUAAUCUGUGCAAUGGACAGCUUUAAAGUUUAAGUAGAGGAGUGACAAUUCAGGAGAGAGUUUGAGCCAGCUGUAUCAGCUUGCAAGAGGUGACUGGUAAAUUUUCAGGAAUUUUGUCUGUCACUUGUUAAUCACAGCCAAUACUAAAAACUAAACUAUUUACAAACUUACAAUUAAAUAUUCUAAAAAUGAAGGUAAUAAUUGCUCAAAACAUCACUUCAUAAUUAUUUUACAACAUUUUACUAGUAUCUAUGAUUUAAAGUUAUCUCCAUCUGUUCUUUAUAAUGCAUGUAUUAUAUAGUGAUAUGAUACAGAGUAUCUCUUCCAACUCUGCACUCAGAAAUGUUGUUUUGGUACUUUGAAAUCAACUGGUGGAGUAUUUACAGAAAUUGGAAAACUACAAUUCAGAGCUUGAUUUCUUUUGUUGAUUGUCUAAACUUAAGAAAGUGAUAAAAGAAAUAUUAGUAACGAAGGUUAAACUUAAAGCUGUUAGUUUAUGAAUAAUGCAAACAUUUGAGGAAAUAUUUUUCUCGUCGUUGAAAACUGUUAUCCAAUUAGCAAAGAAGUUGCUCACAUCAUUGACGAACGAAUGUCAUCCUAAUAUAUAUCUUUGUUGUUUCACUUUCAUCUUGCUUGUUAAUGUAAAAAAGCAUCAACCAACAUUCAUGUUUGAACUUCAGUGGCAUGCGCGACUUCUUUGCUGAACUGGAAUUUUUUUCUCCCUGAACUGAAUUUUAUUUAUUUUUCUGAACUGAAUUUUAAUAAAAUAUUUAUUCAUAGUC